CAAUCGAACCCGGAGAUAGCUGGUUCUCCCCGAAAUAGCUUUAGGGCUAGCGUCGCAGCGAGAGAGCCGUGAAGGUAGAGCACUGAAUAUGCGAUGGCCGCAUCCCGCGGUACUGAGCAUAAUCAAACUCCGAAUGUCACGGUGUCAUCUGCGGCAGUCAGACGGCGAGUGAUAAGGUCCGUCGUCAAGAGGGAAACAGCCCAGACCAUCAGCUAAGGUCCCAAAGUGCAUGCUAAGUGGAAAAGGAAGUGGAGACGUGCAGACAACUAGGAGGUUGGCUCAGAAGCAGCCAUCCUUCAAAGAGUGCGUAACAGCUCACUAGUCGAAUGACUCUGCGCCGAUAAUUUACCGGGGCUAAGCAUGACACCGAAGCUAUGGACAGGAAUGUGGUAGGGGAGCAUUGCAUGCAGCGGAGAAGCAUGACCGAAAGGGCAUGUGGAGCGCAUGGAAGAGAGAAUGCCGGCGUGAGUAGCGGCACGUGGGUGAGAAUCCCACGCACCGAUGGCCCAAGGUCUCCAGAGGAAGGCUCGUCCUCUCUGGGAUAGUCGGGACCUAAGGCGAGGCCGAAAGGCGUAGCCGAUGGACGACGGGUGGAUAUUCCCGUACCCGAUGUGUGGCGAUGGAGUGACGGAGAAGGCUCAGGCAACCAGCUGCUGGAAUAGCUGGGGCAAGCGAGAUACCUGCGCACCAGGGAAAUCCGGUGCGCACAAGGGGAAGGCGCGAAGCAUACGGAAAGCUGCGGCAAGUACGGAAAAGCUGAGAGCAGGCUUCCAGGAAAAGCUUCUAGCACAACACACAUCGGCCCGUACCGAAAAUGGACACACAUGGGCAAGGAGAGAAUCCUGAGGUGAGCGAGAGAACUAUAGCUAAGGAACUCUGCAAAAUGACCCCGUAACCUAGGGAGAAGGGGUGCUCCAGAAAUGGAGCCGCAGUAAAACGGCCCAAGCGACUGUUUACCAAAAACACAGCUCUCUGCGAAGGCGCAAGCCGAAGUAUAGGGGGUGACGCCUGCCCGGUGCUGGAAGGUCAAGGGGAGCUGUCAGCGCAAGCGAAGCAGCGAGCCGAAGCCCCAGUAAACGGCGGCCGUAACUAUAACGGUCCUAAGGUAGCGAAAUUCCUUGUCGGGCAAGUUCCGACCCGCACGAAAGGCGUAACGAUUUGGGCGCUGUCUCAGCUGUAGACUCGGUGAAGUCUUAGUACCUGUGAAGAUGCAGGUUGCCCGCGACUAGACGGAAAGACCCCAUGGAGCUUCACUGCAGGUUGACAUUGGGCUUGGAUGCAUGAUGUACAGGAUAGGUGGGAGGCUGAGAGCCGUGCGCGCCAGCGUACGGGGAGCCGCUGUUGGGAUACCACCCCUCAUGCAUCUAGGUCCUAACCGGAGGCAACGGGCCACGGGACAGUGUCAGUCGGGCAGUUUGACUGGGGCGGUCGCCUCCCAAAGAGUAACGGAGGCGCCCAAAGAUACCCUCAGCAUGGAUGGAAACCAUGCAUAGAGUGCAAAGGCAUAAGGGUGUCUGACUGCGAGACAUACAGGUCGAGCAGGGACGAAAGUCGGGCUUAGUGAUCCGGC
rnacentral:rRNA from 1 species